rnacentral:rRNA from 1 species
UACGUAGGGUGCGAGCGUUAAUCGGAAUUACUGGGCGUAAAGCGUGCGCAGGCGGUUCGUUAAGUCAGAUGUGAAAGCCCCGGGCUCAACCUGGGAACUGCAUUUGAAACUGGCGGGCUUGAGUAUGGCAGAGGGGGGUGGAAUUCCACGUGUAGCAGUGAAAUGCGUAGAUAUGUGGAGGAACACCGAUGGCGAAGGCAGCCCCCUGGGAUGUGACUGACGCUCAUGUACGAAAGCGUGGGGAGCAAACAGG